rnacentral:misc_RNA from 1 species
AAACAGGCUUACUGUGUUCACUGCUGGACGCCUCUGGGCAAUCUUACCCUCCUGGGAACUGAGAGAGACAAUGCUAGGAGCCAGAAACAUGAGGAAUACAUGAGCUCGGCGCCAAUGGAACAUGCUUUCACACCGGGUGCAGCUAACCACCACAUCAUACAAAACUCGUCGCUGACGUUUUAGAUGUAUAAUCUGAUUGGCAUGGACUCACAGAGGAGGGAGUAAGGGAAGAGUAAGAAGAUUUCAAAGGAGAGGUGUUCCUGGCUCUAUGCCAAAUGCAUCCUGGACUGGAAACCUCAGAGCUAUAAAGUGGAGUGACAUGGAAGACAGACACGGAGGCUGCCACGGCCACUAUGUACAUGGUAUUUGUAUCUAUGGAAACGGAGACUUAAAGUGGCUGGUUAAUUCACCAAGCCUGUUUGCUAACAAGUUUGAGCUUAAUACCUACCCCCUUACUGUGGAAUGCCUAGAACUGAGGCAUCGCGAAAGAACCCUCAAUCAGAGUGAAACUGCGAUACAACCCAGCUGGUAUUUUUGAGCUAUUCAU